rnacentral:tRNA from 1 species
GGAAGCGUGGCCGAGUGGUUGAAGGCUUCGGUCUUGAAAGCCGGCGAAGGGGUAAUCUUUCCGUGAGUUCGAAUCUCACCGCUUCCGCCA